rnacentral:rRNA from 1 species
CCUACGGGUGGCAGCAGUGGGGAAUAUUGUGCAAUGGGCGAAAGCCUGACGCAGCGACGCCGCGUGAGGGAUGAAGGUCUUCGGAUCGUAAACCUCUGUCAGCAGGGAAGAACGGUCACUGUGCUAAUCAACAGUGACUUGACGGUACCUGCAAAGGAAGCACCGGCUAACACCGUGCCAGCAGCCGCGGUAAUACGGAGGGGGCGAGCGUUAGUCGGAAUGACUGGGCGUAAAGCGCUCGUAGGCGGUAGGUCAAGUCAAGGGUGAAAUCCCCGCGCUCAACGUGGGAACUGCAUGUGAAACUGGCAAACUGGAGUGUGUGAGAGGAUAGUGGAAUUCCAGGUGUAGGAGUGAAAUCCGUAGAUAUCUGGAGGAACAUCAGUGGCGAAGGCGACUAUCUGGCACAUAACUGACGCUGAGGAGCGAAAGCGUGGGUAGCAAACAGGAUUAGAUACCCGUGUAGUC